AUGUGGCGGUCACCAUUUUGGCUGAGGGUCAGAUGGGUCAGGUGACUUUUUUGCCAUCUUGGCUGAAGGCCAGAUGGGUCAGGUGACCUUUUCACCAUCUUGGCUGAGAGCCAGGUCAUGUGACCACACUGUCCUGGUUUUACCCUACCUUCUCACCCGGUUUUCACUAAAAUCCUCCUGUUAACUCUGUUACAUGUGUUUUGAGCAAUGGCAUGUCUCUGAUAGGGCCUGUCAGAGGCGUCCACGUUGCCUAAUUCUUGUUCACUCUCUGUAUGUAUAAUAAUUGUUUAUUACAUCUCAUUUCAGACUACAAAACAUGAGUCUUGUAUUUUAAACUGGUAUGUACCUUUAAGCCUCUUAAGCUGUUCUCUACCAUUGUCAGUUUUGCCACUAACCUUAUAUUUCAAGCAGCUUUUCCCUCUAUCUUUUUACAAAUGUAAAUCUUACCUGUUGAGAACCAAUGUGGUCAAGCUCAGACCCAACUUUCCAAACAAAUUCUAUACUAUAGUUAUUCCUGAUAAACAGCCCUCAACUGCUCAGAGAUCUGGGGAAUGUGAUAUUUACGUAUUUAAUUAUUAAAAACUUUUCACAACAACAAAAAGAGACAGGUUGGCUCCUAGCAGCAGCUCUCUGCUCCCUCCAAAGAAGACAGAAGACAAAUGGACACACAAAACAACGUCCUUCUGCGGUUCGCUUUGACUGCCGAGUGCUGACCAUUGGACAAACCUGCCUUUCGUCUAAAGUAAAGACCUCUCUAGAUGUGGACGGAAUCACUGGAAUCGACAGCCUAGCUGCUCAGGUCAAGGUAGGCCUGUCUUCCUACAGAUUUCUUAGCCCACAGAUCUUCUGGAGCCUGGCAGGCCCUGCGCUAAACAGCAAAGCUCAAGUGCAACCUUCACCAACCAUGGGGGAUACAAAAAGAGUAGCUCUUGGUGCCAACCAAGUAAGUUCUCUGUCAUUUUUUUAAUCAGUAACUCAAGUAAAAUCUUAUCCUUCUCAAAGAUCUCUGACAGCUUGACAGCUGAGAGGUUUCACCAGGUUGAGGUUUUGCAAGGUGACCUCACCAAACAAAUUUCAAACCAAAUUUAUCUCUUAUGCUACAGUCAUUAUAUGUCUAAAACUUCUGUUUUCACAAACCCAAGGAGUUCUCGUGAGUUCCAGGAAGCCGAAUUAAAGAAUCCACCUUAAACAGGUCAGAUACAUCCCCCUCGAUUCCCUGGUCCUAAAAUUUUUUUUUUACCUUAAUUUAACUUUGUUCUUUGUUCUGCCAAUACCUUAGGGACACCAGACAUCCCCAUGCCACAGACAUCGGUCAGAAGCAAAGAGACCAGCUAUGCCAGGAUGUUCCCAGCACACAGCCUUCUUCAGGUCACCUCCCCCCCAAAGACGACGCCCACAAAUCAGCAGGAAGCAGUUUUGAGAAUUCGCCGCCCCAAUUCCUUCAAACUGUGGUAUCUAAUCUCCUGCUUUUUAUUAUAAGGAAGACCUGGGAAUAUUAUGGUUUUGGUCCCUUUAAGAGACAAGCCACGCCCACUCCCUCCCCCAUCUGCUGAGGCAGACUGAUCUUCAGCUUCUGGCCUGAGUUCGCUCCCUUUUCCAUCUUCCUCUCAGAGAGGCAGCUUCGCUUCUGCCUCUCUUCCCACUUCUCUGUCUCUCUCUCCUCUUCUCCUCUCUCUCUCUGUUUCUCUCUCUCUCCCUCUCUCUCUGUCCCCCCUUCACCCUUCCUCCUCCAUAACCCCUUGAAUAAACAUUCAACCUCACCCUGCAUGUCAUGUUUAUCCAUGUUUCUGUCUUCUGCCCGCCCGCCAUGUGUCUCCCUGCCUGGGACCAGCCACUGCUCGGGGACCAGCAGCCGUCUCUGCCUGGGGCCCACUGCCUGCUGCCACAUGGCCCGCCAUCACCGCUCUGGGACCAGCAGCCAUUUCUGCCUGGGACUGGCUGGUCCCAGAGCCCGCUGCCUGCCACCACAUGGCCCGCCAUCGCCAUUUGGGACCUACAGCAUUUCUGCUGCCUACUGCCGCGGGGAUCUUGCAGCAUUUUUUAAAAAGAACUACACUGAUGGCAUCCUUCCUCAGGCUGGUGUUCCAGACUGGAAAGGAGAAGUACACUGAGCCCCAGCACGCACCACUCCAUUUCCUGAAUGUGUGUGCACUGUGACCGGCUGCCUCAAGCCUGCUGCCAUGAUGUCCCUAGAAGACGAUAGCAGCCCUUCCAAGCAGACUGCUUGGUGUUUUUUGUCAUAACAACGAGAAGAGUCACCAAGACAAAGUCCAUGGCUGUGAAUCCUCAUGCUGGGUUUUUCCUCAAUGACCUUAGCCCUGCUCAUGUGUUUGUGGUCAGACUUCAAGAAUUUUAACCCCCUUGAGUGUGUCAUUUGAUUUUCUGCAAGGACACCAACUAUGCAUAUAAAUAGAUGUACAAACUCAACAGGUUUCCCACACACCAGCCACGACUAACAAGCAGUACAGAAUGAUGACUCAGAUGCUAGAGCCAAUCUUCCCAUUGCGUAGACCACUAUCGAGUCACCUUGAGAAGGAGGGGAUUUAUUUCAGCAUCGAGAUGAGAUUAGAGUGAAUCCCCGAGGGAAGCCAUGGCAGCAGCUGAAGCACAGACCAUAGAGGGAUGCUGCUCACUGGCCAGAGUGCUGUGGUCUUCAUGAGAUAUCAGGAACCUGAUGAUAACUGAAUGGGGACAGCUCACUGGAGCCUCCUUGAUGAGAGGCCAGCAAAAGGGUCUUUUACUGAAGCUGAAACACUGAUUCUGAAGACCAACAGACUCUUGUUUCUUCCUCCCCAGCACUGGAUUUACAGGUGUGUGUCAGCACACUCCCAGCUUCCAGUGCAGACUCUGGGGAUCUAAAUUCAGACCUUCAGGCUUGCUCAGCAGGCGCAUUGCUAACCAAGCUGUCACCCCACCCUUUGAGGAUUUUAUCUGUUAAAGCAGAACAGAUGGGAGAGGCUGAUGACCAAUUCUUCUGGAAUGAGCUCUUAUAGUUGAUGAAGACGUGAGAUCAGUACUAAUUUUUUUCACUCUUGGUUGGGCACUUUUGAGGCAUGUUUACAAAAAUAACCAAUAUCACCCAGCAAGAUUGAGUCCCAGGAGCCGACAGGGACCAUAGGCUCAGAACUGAACCCCGUAUUUGGUUUCUGUAUUUCCAUGACUAAAUUUCUCCACCUUC